AUCACAGAGGGCUGCUGGUCUGGUUGAGUCUAUUCUCUCCUCUGUACCAGGACAAGAUCACAUCUUUCCGGUUCUUCACAGUGCGCACCACUGAACAGCUGGAGCUUUAGAGGAAUGAACCAUUUGUUCAGAUGGAGAAGGCUUGCCAGACUGAUGUUCAUGCUGCUAUAUUUUGUCAUUAAUGUUCUCUGUGCUUCCCAUCAAACAGUCCAGUCUGAGACUCAGCACGUGAAAGGCAUCGUGGGACAGUCUUUCUCUUUUCAAGAGAUGGUGAUCAAGACUGGCAAUUUACUUUAUGGAGACCUUGGCAGUAUUGCAAAUGUGUACCCUGGUAAAGAAGGCAACAUCACCCUUGAGAAGAGAUUUGAAAACCGCCUCCGCUUGAACAAUGUUACAAAAUACUUCACUCUGUCAGCCCUUCAGAUAGACGAUGCUGGGGUUUAUACUGUUGAGAAUACAGAUGAAGAGAAAAAAACAACAAAAUUUGAGCUCACUGUAUACAAUGUUGUUUCCAAACCUCAGGUGACAGAGUGUGACAGCAGCUCCUGUAGUGUGGUGUGUUCUGUGGACAAUGAAAAAGAGGUGACCUUGACCCUGUACAGGGGGAGAGGAAAUACUAAACCAGACCAGCAGUCCUGAUCUCAUCACUGAUCUAUCUCUACACUUGGAGGUAGAGGUAAAGAACUACAACUCCACCUACAGCUGUGUGGCUUCCAACCCUGUCAGCAAUGAGACCGUUCUUGUCCCAAAAUGUUGCAGUGAAGAUGGUCAUCCUAAUGAUGCAGACAGUGAUGGGAUGACUCUGGGUAUGGUUAUUGCUGUAAUCUGCGUUGUGGUUGCCUCUGGGCUGGUUGGACUUGCAAUCUAUCUAAGGAAGAGGGGAAAUGAACACUCACAAGGCAGAUUCAUCCGAAAGAGUGCAAGUUGACAUUGAGUAUGCAACGAUAAUUCCUAAAAAACGAACAGAUAACCAGGAGGAGCGAACAGAUAUACCGGAAUUGGAGUCACACAGAACAGAUAUACCAGAAUUGGAGUCACGUAGAGACAACCCUAACCUGACAUCAGUUUAUGAUAUACUCCUGUUACAUCGCAUGGCUGCCAGCGGGGAUGUUGACACAGCAUGAAGGAGAAAAACGGGAAGUCAAUGAGAGGCCGAAAUGAUAACUCACAUUCUGUAGAGCAUAAAAGAGGACGUUGAAACAAAAUGAAAGUAAAAAAAAUAUUCAUGCUAACAACCUUUUAGAGGCACCGUUGUUAUGGGAGAAAAAUCCCCUGGAACUGUUGUGCUGAUACUAUAAUUUCAGGCUUCAUUUGUAGGUCAUUCUCACAGACCUUCUGUCAAAUAGGGGCCUCGGUUACAUCCACUGAUACUGACCAAUUCAAUAACUAUGCAUCGAGUUGUUAGCAUGAUCAGGAUAAUCCGUCUUUUUAAAUGCCUUUUGUCCCGAAUCCCAAUGUAUAAGUAAAAUUAAAUGGAACAUAUAUUUUAAUACAAUUCACAAUACAAUUGUGAAUACAAUUCAAGUGUUUGCUAUGCUACUGCUAUGCCAAAGCUUCCUUUCAGUACUGUCUGUUCUGUUGUUUAAAUGUAGGUGCCUCCCCUGUAUCGUUUUAUAGCUGGUCAUUGUUUAGCUUGCCAGUGGAUAGCAGCUGUGUACAUCAUAUAAAAAGAGCAGGCGUUUGAGAUAAAGCCACCUACUCCUUAGAAGCAAUGGCUGUUAGGCUGCUUUAGAAACAAAACGGUCCAUAGAUACACGUUUUCCUUUCAACAUUUAGGUUUUAAGGGGUGGCCAGCUCUAGGAAGAGUCUUGGUGGUUCCAAACUUUUUCCAUUUAGGAAUGCUGGAGGCCACUGUGUUCUUGGGGACCUUCAAUGCUGCACCCUUCCCCAAAUCUGUGCCCUGACAAU